rnacentral:pre_miRNA from 1 species
AGUGGGAUAGCUGGGUCAAAUGGUGGUUCCAUUCCAAGUUUUCUGAGGAAUCUCCAUACUGUGUUCCAUAGUGGUUGCACCAAUUUGCAGUCCCUCCAGCAAU